ensembl:lncRNA
CUCUCGGCCUGCUUGGAAUUUCCCAGCUCUAUCGUGUCAGAUUGCACAUCCCGGACAGUAUAUGCCGGUCAAGGGGGUGAAUAAAAAGUCUCAAUAGCAUUCUUUUGUAAUACUUAAAAGGAGGGCUGUGGGGCUGAAAAGAAAGAGAAGAAAGAGAAAUGUCGCCUCCCUUCUUUUCCAGUUUUCAAGAUGUGCAAGAUACUGAAGAGAUGGCAGUACAGAUGGGAAUACAAAUUUGUGAGUUUAAUCUCUGGUGCUAUAUUUUUCUGUGCUGAGAUAUGUCCAUAUAGCGCUCGUUUCCUUUCUAUGCCAAAAUAGUAAAUGGCAUUUUCUUAUUUCCUGAGAAAAUUACUCCACUCAGAAUUGUGAGGUUAAGCUACAGAAAAUUUACAUUAAGGAAACUGGAAAUGUCAGCUUUCACAAGGAUACAUCAAGAACCAACCAUCUGAGCAUGCUGGCAAAAUUAAUGUAUUCUAGAAGGCCAACACACAAAUGUUAAGAGGGACUUGAUGAUACAGCGCAGAUUAAAGCAGUGGCUUUUGUGCCUCUGGAAGCUGUGUUUGCAUUCAGUCCAGUAUGACUAGGAAAAAAGUUAAUUUGAUUUGAUAGCUGAAAAGGUCACACAUUUUGUUCAGCGCCUUGCAUGCUUUUUUCCUUAACUAGAUUUCUCCAUUUCAG